GGAGGUGAUUGGUGCCUGGUGGCGCCCCUGGUCUUCAAAACCAGUGUGGGGCUCGCAAGGGUCCUGGGUGGGUUCGAUUCCCAUUCGCCUCCGCCA
rnacentral:tRNA from 1 species